GAGGGGCUGCGGGCGGUGCGGGGUGGCUGAGGGGAGCCUGGGGGUGCUCCUGGGCCGGGCUCGGUGCUCGUAGGGCCGGGGCUGCAGCCCCGGGCCGGGGCCUUGCAGGGAAGGAGUCCCGGCGGGCGGGGGCAGCCCUGGGCACGUGUCCCCCCCGAGGGGCCGGGGCAGCUCCCACUCCUCUCUCCUGGGCACGAUUUGCUGUUCCGCCUCCUCGGGAACGGCGAUUUCUGGCUCGGGCUGCGCAGACGGGGCGAGCGCCUGCAGUGGGAGGACGGCAGCAGCUACAGCUCCCGGGUUCCCGUCCUCGGCAAUUCCCAGUGUGCGUACCUGGCUGACGGGAAAAGAUUCAGGAGUGAGUUCUGCUCCAAUGAGCGGCCGUAUGUCUGCAGCAAGGCCCAAGGUCCCCUGUAACAGGGGCUGCAGAAAGGACCUUCUCCACGCUGGGCAGUGCCAGCUUCACCUCUGAGCCCAGCACAGGGCUGCCCUUCCUCAGCUGCACCCUGUGCCUUGCACUUCCUCUCAGGGUCACCUCAGUGCCUCUUCAUCCCCAGUGCCAGCGCUGGGCUGGGGGUGCAAAGGAAAAGUCACUCCAAUCCAUCCUGCCACUGAUGCUGUCUGGAGUGAGUGCAUUGUACUCCUUAUGUUUGAGAAAUACAGCUCAUUAUUUUAAAAUUUAAAGUUUUUGAAGGGAUAAAAUUCUGGGCUGUGAUGCUUGGCUGUUUGCACAUAUUAUUGGCUCAACUAUGUUCUUCAUAUACUGUUUCAUUAUAGGGCUACAUGCAUACUGUUAGAGUUUAUACAUAUUCAAACAUACGUUUUCAAACAUUCAAAGAGUUUAUACCUAUUCAAAGAUUCCUUUAAUAUGUUCUUUUUUUUGGUUUUAACCUUUGACUUGUCUUCAUGCCUUCUCAAUUAAACUAAUGCAUUUUAGUUUUCCUUGUGGUUCUGUCUUCUUGUAUUUUCAUUCCCUGAUAAUGAGGGUUAAUAAAUUAUUUUUUCUCGGUU